ACUCACUAUAGGGCGAAUUGGGCCCGACGUCGCAUGCUCCCGGCCGCCAUGGCGGCCGCGGGAAUUCGAUUAGAGUUUGAUCAUGGCUCAGGACGAACGCUGGCGGCGUGCUUAACACAUGCAAGUCUACGAGAAUGAGGUAGCAAUAUCUUUAGUAAAGUGGCGCACGGGUGCGUAACACGUAAGCAAUCUACCUUUGGGUCUGGAAUAACUUCGAGAAAUCGAGGCUAAUACCGGAUAAUGCAGCGGCACCGCAUGGUGAUGUUGUUAAAGUUUAAGUAAUGCCUAUAGAUGAGCUUGCGUCUGAUUAGCUAGUUGGUAGGGUAAAAGCCUACCAAGGCUACGAUCAGUAGCUGGUCUGAGAGGAUGAUCAGCCACACUGGAACUGAGACACGGUCCAGACUCCUACGGGAGGCAGCAGUGAGGAAUAUUGGGCAAUGCCCGCAAGGGUGACCCAGCAACGCCGCGUGGAGGAUGAAGGCCGUAAGGUUGUAAACUCCUGUUAGAGGAGAAGAAUAGUAUCGAUUGGAUCGAUAUUGACUGUACCCUC
rnacentral:rRNA from 1 species